AUGGAGCCAAGGGGAGGCCUGGUUGGGAGGGAGGCGAAAGCUGGAGAACCCCGAGUUCCCCUCUCCGAGCGGAGCCGGAGGGGAUGCUGCGCACCCCGAGCCGGCUGCCGCGCGUGGCCGCCCCCCGCAACAAGUGCCGGGUGCCAUGGCAACGGCGGGAAUUUACCGGUCCGGGCGGCCGGAAGCGGCCCCCGCCGAGCUCUCGGCUCGGGGAGCAAAAUCCUGUCCCCCUCCAGGGGGAGCAAAAUGGACGAAAGACGACCCCCAGGCAGAGGCUCGGGGCGCCUUAGGGACCUAGGGCAUCUCUUAUCUUUCCGGGGCAUGACACUGCCAGUCGGAGAUAUAAAAGCCUGCAUCAGGUGGAAGAAGUUAACUGCUGACCUCCGGUAUAUAGACUCCAGACUGGUUGGAACUGGAAAGUUGAUGUUGAUUCCCGAAAUACCACCUGGCAACCUCACCACCAACCAAUCAGAAGAAUGUCUACAGGUUGAUCAGGUACCCUGCCACCCUCUCCCUCUUUUUUCCUUUUCUGAAACCCUUCUCUGAAAUUCAUCAAGGAGUUCUGGUCUUUUGAGCAAGAGUUGCCCAUUCUCCUUCCUUGGCCCUACAAUAAACAUUGUGCUUUCCUUCACCAUAACCUAGCAUCAAUAAAUUGGCUUUGCUGUGAGUCAGGUGAUGAGACCUGUAUUUGGUUUGAUAACGUUACCAGGUCUCAGGAACAAGGACUUUCUCAUCCAUAUAAAAUUCAUCCAUCCCCUUUCAUCCAAUGGCAUUUUAGGGAUGUCAUUUUCACCCCCGAGGACACUAAUAGGGGUCACUUGCGAUCCUCCAGCACAAUGUUCCAGAGAAAGAAUCUGCAAAAGGUCACAGAGGAGAAGUUCAGCUAGCAUCACCCCUGUGGUGAGGCAGCACAUUCUGCUCACACAAGUGCAGGCUGGUCAGCUCACUCAGGUCCAGCUCCUUGGACCCCCAGUGACACCUGUGGCUGCAGGUCUUCGUUGCUUGUUGCAACUUUUUUCCUUCCUGUUAGGGUGACGCUUACUCCUUGGAAGAAAAGUUAUGACCAACCUAGACAGCAUAUUCAAAAGCAGAGACAUUACUUUGCCGACUAAGGUCCGUCUAGUCAAGGCUAUGGUUUUUCCUGUGGUCAUGUAUGGAUGUGAGAGUUGGACUGUGAAGAAGGCUGAGUGCCGAAGAAUUGAUGCUUUUGAACUGUGGUGUUGGAGAAGACUCUUGAGAGUCCCUUGGACUGCAAGGAGAUCCAACCAGUCCAUUCAGAAGGAGAUCAGCCCUGGGAUUUCUUUGGAAGGAAUGAUGCUAAAGCUGAAACUCCAGUACUUUGGCCACCUCAUGUGAAGAGUUGACUCAUUGGGAAAGACUUUGAUGCUGGGAGGGAUUGGGGGCAGGAGGAGAAGGGGAUGACAGAGGAUGAGAUGGCUGGAUGGCACCGCUGACUCGAUGGAUGUGAGUCUGAGUGAACUCCGGGAGUUGGUGAUGGACAGGGAGGCCUGGAGUGCUGUGAUUCAUGGCAUCGCAAAGAGUCGGACACGACUGAGCGACUGAACUGAACUGAAAGGGUGCCCUCUCUCCAGGUCUUACUUCUUCCCAAGUUCAUUAUCCUCCCUUCUCUCUCGUCUAAUUUGAACCUGAAAUAUUUUUAAUUUUUUUCAUUUUGGUUUAAGGAGAAGGUAGGAGAAAAUUCUUCUCUGCCUCUAAAUACGUUGGUAAGUCUAGAACCCUCUGUAUUUCCUUAAGGCUUAGAACCUUAGAAACCAAAGCCUGAAAAACAUUUUCCUCUGCUUUGCCUGUUCACAUCCCUCUCUAGAGAUAGUGGGCACACAGAGGUCUGAAAAGUAAGUGAAAUAGAGAGAAAAAAAGUAAAAGUAAUAGUGCAAGAGAGAGGUAGAUAGAGCUAUCUCUCUGUAUUUAAUAAAUUAAUGGGCCUGUUAUACUCUCAUAAUUAUUAUUUUUCUGUACUAGUUUUUAAAAACAGAAUAUGUCUGACGUAGGGUGCAGCAUGCUUGGUGCUGGUGCAUGGGGAUGACCCAGAGAGAUGUUGUGGGGAGGGAGGUGGGAGGGGAGGUUCAUGUUUGGGAACGCAUGUAAGAAUUAAAGAUGUUAAAAUUUAAAAAAUAAAAACAAACAAACAAACAAACAAAAAACCAG
ensembl:lincRNA